rnacentral:lncRNA from 10 species
GAUUGUGUCUCACAUUUGUCCUUUUCUUUUUCAUUCCCAAGCAACUUCACCCAUAGACUGCAGAGAUAACCUCAAAAUCUUUGUUUAUGAAUGACUUAAUUUCUUUAUUACAUAAAGUAUAUAUGUUCAUUGUAGAUGCUUUACAAAAAUCAGGUAAGCAAAAAAGAAGAAAAAAAUUAAUGUCUUGAAUCCCACCACUUUGAAAUAACUUUUUUUUUCUGAGAUAGGUUCUUGUUCAGUCGCCCAGGUUGGAGUGCGGUGGUGCGAUCACAGCUCCCUGCAGCCUCUACCUCCUGAUCUCAAGCCAUCCCCCCAUCUCAGUCCCAGUCUCAGCUGAGACUACAGGCAUGUGCCACCAAGCCCAGCUAAUUUUUGUAAUUUUUUGUAGGGCGGGGUUUCACCAUGUUGCCUAGGCUGCUGUCAGACUCCUGAGUUCAAGUAAUUUGCCUGUCUCGGCCUCCCAAAGUGCUGGGAUUAUAGGCAUGAGCCACUGUGUCCUGCCUUGAAAUAAUUUCACUUAAUAUUUUGGUAUAUAUACCUCUGUCUGUGCAUAUUAAUGGAAUUAUGCUGCAAUACUGUUUGUAAUUAACUGCAUAUCAUAAAUAUUUUUUCAUGUCAAUAGACUUUAACAAUAUUAUUAGGUUGGUACAAAAGUAAUUGCGGUUUUUGCCACUAAAAGUAAUGGGGAAAAUCGCUAUUAUUUUUGUACCAACCUAAUAGCUGCGUAGCUUUCUAUUUUACAGAUCUAAUACCAUUUAUUUACUCAACCUCCUACUAUUAAGUGUCUAGGCUAUUUCUGAUCUUUUACUUUUAUACCCACACUCAUGGUAAGCACCCUUGCAACUAUAUUAAUCACAUACAUUCUUAAUUAUUUCUCUAAGAUGAAUUCAUAAAAGCAGAAUUGUGGGGUCAAAGCCUAUACACAUUUUUAGGUUGUUUGAUAAUAAGCCAAAUGCAAUAAAGUAUCUUAAUCUGUAUCCCAAUGUCCAGUAUUCUGUUUUCCUCCAACUUAUCUUCCUCCUUAAGUUUGUAAAGAAGAACACUAAUAAUGUUGCCUCCCACUUCAAAAAUUGUCCAGGAUUCAAAAUCCUCAGUCUAGGCUUUGAAGCCCUUCUAAUCUGGGCCCGGCCCACCUUUUCAGGGUCACCUCUCACUGUCCUCCCUGUAUUACCCUACACCCCAUGCUAUUGCUUCUGAACACUCUUGAUUUCUACCCUGUCUUCAGCCACACUAGAUAUGAUCCCUUUCGUGAACUCCGAUAGCCAUGUACAUGUGCCUCACUUCCAGCAUUAAUUGUAUUCUGUUCUAUGUCUCAUGGGCUUUUUACGCACUAGUCUUACCUCCCUUCCCACACCACAAGUGCUUGUAAUGCUGGGACCACCCCCUGAGUCCCCGACAGUAGAAGUGUAACUGUCAGAAUUGUCUUG